rnacentral:lncRNA from 1 species
GACACUGUUCAGCUUUUUUAUCUUUUACCAGUAUUUGGGGACUUAUUGGGGAUUCCUUUGAUAAUUUCAGGAAGAAAGAAGUGGAAUGGAAGGAGCCAGUAACUGUCCCAGGUCAGAAAACGCCUCUGAAAAGGAUCUACAUUACACCCAAAGUUCAUUGGAUAACUGCACCCUCAACAAUCAGGAGACAAUAAGUGGUACGAACCAAGCCAGUAACUGCCCCAAAUCAGAUGGUGCCUCUGAAGACAAUCAGCAUUGCACAGACAGUUCACAGCAUGACAGUAUCUUCCACAUUCAGGUAUGAAACUGCUCUUUUUUAUGUAUUUUAAUUACCAUAUA